GGGGAAGAAGAAAUUCGCUCUGCCCUCAGUAGCUCUGCAGGCCGAGGGCAGCACUUGGCCUCUGGGCUCGGAGAAUGGUCCGCACCAUCUCCCAGACACGGGGCUCUUGGUCGGACGGGAGCUGAAUUCUGCAAACCUGGAUGAGCAGGGACUCAGAGGGGUCCACUGAGUUUCCAGAAAGACAGCAGCCCGGCUGGGAACCUGACUUCGGCCUUGUGACCUCUGACCUAUAGAGAGUAUAAGGGGCAGGCACUACCAGUGUUUUGUGUUUGCAAACCAAAACUCGGAGGAGGCUCAUCCAGAAGCAGGAAGUUGGCAAAAUAUAGAGGGAUCAGAGGAAACAGGCUGGCAACAGGAAGAGUUGGGAGAAGAAGGCUGAUGGGGUGGAUGGCAAGACCCUUCCCCAGGCUGCAGCUCAAAAGAAAUCUCCUAGGGCUAGGGAUUUAGCUCAGUGGCCCUCACCUGCCUUGCAAGUACAAGGUCCUGAGUUCAAUCCCCAGUACUGGGAAGAAAAAAAGAGGAAGAGGAAGAAGAAGAAAUCUCCUAGUACAGCU
rnacentral:lncRNA from 1 species